rnacentral:rRNA from 1 species
UGGGGAAUAUUGCACAAUGGGCGCAAGCCUGAUGCAGCCAUGCCGCGUGUGUGAAGAAGGCCUUCGGGUUGUAAAGCACUUUCAGCGAGGAGGAAGGUGGUGAACUUAAUACGUUCAUCAAUUGACGUUACUCGCAGAAGAAGCACCGGCUAACUCCGUGCCAGCAGCCGCGGUAAUACGGAGGGUGCAAGCGUUAAUCGGAAUUACUGGGCGUAAAGCGCACGCAGGCGGUUUGUUAAGUCAGAUGUGAAAUCCCCGGGCUCAACCUGGGAACUGCAUUUGAAACUGGCAAGCUAGAGUCUCGUAGAGGGGGGUAGAAUUCCAGGUGUAGCGGUGAAAUGCGUAGAGAUCUGGAGGAAUACCGGUGGCGAAGGCGGCCCCCUGGACGAAGACUGACGCUCAGGUGCGAAAAGCGUGGGGCAGCAAACAGGAUUAGAUACCCUGGUAGUCCACGCUGUAAAACGAUGUCGAUUUUGGAGGUUGUGCCCCUUGAGGCGUGGNUUCCGGAGCUAACGCGUUAAA